UUUCCGUAGGUGAACCUGCGGAAGGAUCAUUCAUAAUAAAGCGUUUUAUGGCACUUUUUAAAAAUCCAUAUCCACCUUGUGUGCAAUGUUAGAUCUCGUCAAUCUUGGCGAGAUUUUUAUACAUCAACUCAUUCUUUAACUAAUUUGUCUGAAAAAUAUUAUGAAUACUUAAUUCAAAAUACAACUUUCAACAACGGAUCUCUUGGCUCUC
rnacentral:misc_RNA from 1 species